rnacentral:rRNA from 1 species
CCUACGGGAGGCAGCAGUGGGGGAUAUUGCACAAUGGGGGGAACCCUGAUGCAGCGACGCCGCGUGGGUGAAGGAGUGCUUCGGUAUGUAAAGCCCUAUCGGCAGGGAAGAAGCAAGACGGUACCUGACUAAGAAGCCCCGGCUAACUACGUGCCAGCAGCCGCGGUAAUACGUAGGGGGCGAGCGUUAUCCGGAUUCACUGGGUGUAAAGGGAGCGUAGACGGCCAAGCAAGCCAGGGGUGAAAGCCCGGGGCCCAACCCCGGGACUGCCCUUGGAACUGCAUGGCUGGAGUGCGGGAGGGGCAGGCGGAAUUCCUGGUGUAGCGGUGAAAUGCGUAGAUAUCAGGAGGAACACCGGCGGCGAAGGCGGCCUGCUGGACCGCGACUGACGUUGAGGCUCGAAAGCGUGGGGAGCGAACAGGAUUAGAUACCCCUGUAGUC